rnacentral:lncRNA from 1 species
AGGCAUGUCAAAAACACAGAGGGUCGUCAUAAAGUUUCCGUCAGACCAAAGGAACCAAGAUGAAAGCAUGUUUAAGAGCUACUAGGUUCUGGGAGAUUUCAAAAUCAGGACAUUACUACCAUGACAACCAAUGAAAAGUUCUUUCAAGUGAACCUUUGGGGAAAACUAUAUAACGUUCCUUACUCUCUAGGCUCUCUGGAAAUAAACUUUUACUUUAUUAUGGCUGUC